GACGUAGGGCGCGAGCGUUGUCCGGAUUUAUUGGGCGUAAAGAGCUCGUAGGCGGCUCAUUGCGUCAACCGUGAAAACCAGCAGCUCAACUGUUGGCUUGCGGUUGAUACGGGUGGGCUGGAGUUCGGUAGGGGAGACUGGAAUUCCUGGUGUAGCGGUGAAAUGCGCAGAUAUCGGGAGGAACACCAGCGGCGAAGGCGGCACUCUGGGCUGGUACUGACGCUGAGGAGCGAAAGCGUGGGUAGCAAACAGG
rnacentral:rRNA from 1 species